GGUUCCUUUAAUCCUAUCUGUGCAGAAAAGAAGCCUGAACGAUAUCAAUGAUUUGCUGACAAACAUCCAAAACCCCAAGCAUGAUUCUUCAGAAUACAGUUAAACAAUAAGAGGCGUUUUUUCCAUACAGUCCAUACUGUUGACAUCAUCAGAAGGGGCCCUGAAGACCCUGCAGCCUGAAAUAUAAGCUGUAAUGUCCAUGUGAACACAAAGAGUAAAUCUAGAGCCAGUAUCAAAAGGUGCAGUCUGGAGCCCGGGGAGGUUUUGCGAAUUUCAAGAAUGGACUGGCACAUGACUGUUGCCCGUGUCUGAAUUAAACACAUCAAAACAGACUACAAAGAGCCAAUAUAACCCUAUCUGACUGUACAGUCACCUGAGGUAACUAUCUUUUGUAACUGAGUACAUGCUGUCAUUAAUAGUAGCUUGCAGUUACUGAUAAAUGUCCA
rnacentral:lncRNA from 1 species